rnacentral:rRNA from 1 species
UACGUAGGCGGAAAAUUAAGUCAGUAGUGAAAUCCUGCAGCUUAACUGUAGAACUGUUAUUGAUACUGGUUUUCUUGAAUAUAGUUGAGGUAGGCGGAAUGUGUAAUGUAGCGGUGAAAUGCUUAGAUAUUACACAGAACACCGAUUGCGAAGGCAGCUCACUAAGCUAUGAUUGACGCUGAGGUACGAAAGCGUGGGGAGCGAACAGGAUUAGAUACCCUGGUAGUCC